rnacentral:rRNA from 1 species
AUUGAACGCUGGCGGCAGGCCUAACACAUGCAAGUCGAGCGGAUGAAGGGAGCUUGCUCCUGGAUUCAGCGGCGGACGGGUGAGUAAUGCCUAGGAAUCUGCCUGGUAGUGGGGGAUAACGUCCGGAAACGGGCGCUAAUACCGCAUACGUCCUGAGGGAGAAAGUGGGGGAUCUUCGGACCUCACGCUAUCAGAUGAGCCUAGGUCGGAUUAGCUAGUUGGUGGGGUAAAGGCCUACCAAGGCGACGAUCCGUAACUGGUCUGAGAGGAUGAUCAGUCACACUGGAACUGAGACACGGUCCAGACUCCUAAGGGAGGCAGCAGUGGGGAAUAUUGGACAGUGGGCGAAAGCCUGAUCCAGCCAUGCCGCGUGUGUGAAGAAGGUCUUCGGAUUGUAAAGCACUUUAAGUUGGGAGGAAGGGCAGUAAGUUAAUACCUUGCUGUUUUGACGUUACCAACAGAAUAAGCACCGGCUAACUUCGUG